GUGGGGAAUAUUGGGCAAUGGGCGCAAGCCUGACCCAGCAACGCCGCGUGAGGGAAGAAGGCUUUCGGGUUGUAAACCUCUGUCCUUGGUGACGAAACAAAUGACGGUAGCCAAGGAGGAAGCCCCGGCUAACUACGUGCCAGCAGCCGCGGUAAUACGUAGGGGGCGAGCGUUGUCCGGAAUUACUGGGCGUAAAGGGUGCGUAGGUGGCCUUUUAAGUUGGAUGUGAAAUACCCGGGCUUAACUUGGGGGGUGCAUCCAAAACUGGGAGGCUAGAGUGCAGGAGAGGAAAGCGGAAUUCCUAGUGUAGCGGUGAAAUGCGUAGAUAUUAGGAGGAACACCAGUGGCGAAGGCGGCUUUCUGGACUGUAACUGACACUGAGGCACGAAAGCGUGGGGAGCAAACAGGAUUAGAUACCCUUGUAGUCC
rnacentral:rRNA from 1 species